rnacentral:rRNA from 1 species
UACGUAGGGUGCAAGCGUUAUCCGGAAUUAUUGGGCGUAAAGAGCUCGUAGGCGGUUUGUCGCGUCUGCUGUGAAAACCCGAGGCUCAACCUCGGGCCUGCAGUGGGUACGGGCAGACUAGAGUGCGGUAGGGGAGAAUGGAAUUCCUGGUGUAGCGGUGGAAUGCGCAGAUAUCAGGAGGAACACCGAUGGCGAAGGCAGUUCUCUGGGCCGUAACUGACGCUGAGGAGCGAAAGCGUGGGGAGCGAACAGG